CAAUGCGCUAUACAAAGAGAUACGACUGUUUUGACGCACGUCAGCUGAGCGACUGUAUCUUUGUCAAAUUUUAACGCUUGCUUCUGUCCGUCGCGUCUUUCUCGCAAUUUCUAUUUAUUGUCAAUAUUUUGCGUGUAACAUAUCGGUCGUCGUCGUUAUAUUUACAAUACGAAAUUAUAUAUUACAAUAUUUCUAAUUACAAUAUAAUGAAAGAUAAUCAUUUCUAAUUACGUUUCUCUUAUGUGACCAUAUACAGAUUUAAUAAAAAUAUGAUGCAGAAAGUAUAUUGCGGAAAAAUAAUCUAUGUACAUCUCUAGUUCAGAUUUCUUCAGCCUUGAUUUCUUGUUUUCGCCUCAUAUUGCUAAACCGGUGAAAAGAAACGGUCGCAAGAAGUUUGUGGAUUUAAAGGCUCUCUGUGUUUAUUCGCGUCAGCUGUUUCUCGUUAUAUAGGUCAAGUAUAUGUUCGUGUACCUGAAUGCCUCUACCUAUUCUAAUUUAAUGCACUAUCAUGUUUCCAUGGCUGAUAUAGUGGUGACUUGGUCACCACAAUUUCAUUAAUGGACGGAAAAAAACAUAAACAUGUUGAUAUUUUCGAAUCAUUAGUUGAAAAUAUGAAAGAAAAAGGUUUUUCUAAAACGGCUCAACAAAUGAAAUUGAAAUUAAAAAAUUUGGGACUUGCUUACUUUAAAUGUAAAAGAGAAAAUAGUCUUAGUGGUGCAGCAAGAACAACCUGUCCAUUCUUUGAACAAUUAGAUAUUUUAUACAGUACUCGACCAAAUGUGCAAGUCCUUCAUGAUGAAUCAGGAAUCGACACUGCAGAUAUUCAAAAUGAAUCAUCUUGUGAAUAUAUGCAGGAUUGUUCAAGUAUAAAUGAGAGUGAAAUUCCGGAAGAAGACGAGUCUAGUUCAACUAUUAGCAACGAACCUCCUAGAAAGAAGAAAUAUGUCUGUAAGAAUCGUCUAGAUGUGUAUAUGGUAAUUGAAUAAUAUCAGAUAGAAAAAGCUACGAAACUGUUUUAGACAAAUAUACACAGAAUAUGUUACAAUCUCAAAAAGAAUUUUUAGCAGAUAUUAUUGUAAAACAGAAUAUGAGAUGUAAAAAGAGAUGAUAAAGGUUGAAAUGGAAAACUAAAGAUUGUGGGAAAAAGAAAUAAUAGAGAAGGAGCAUGCAUUUCAAAAGGAACAGAUGCAAUCUUUUGUACAAGCAAUACAAUUAAUAGGUUCUUCGACUGUGCCAUCAAAUUAUGGAAUGCCACAAAAUUUUCUAAUGCCUCAAAAUUAUGGAAUUGGAACAAAUUAUAAGCUGCCACAACAUGUCAAAAUUAUUCCGGUGAAACAAGGAAAUAUCCCUGAGCUAAGUGGAAUAAAUACACCAACGACGUCAACAUCCACAUCUUCUAGUAUUACUGAGAAUGACGACAAUUCAAAGACAUAAAAAUUUAUUUAUUUUAUUGAUUUACAUAAACGUUUAUUUUACUGCA